rfam:Oryzias latipes DNA, chromosome7, strain: Hd-rR.
CUGGGUUACGGGGAUAUGUACCCGCAAACAUGGCUUGGCAUGAUGGUCGGGGCGUUGUGCGCACUGGCUGGCGUGUUGACCAUUGCCAUGCCUGUUCCUGUCAUCGUCAAUAAC